UACGAGGAGCCGACGUUGUUCGGAUUAUGGCGUAAAGCGUACGCAGGCGGCGCGUUAAGACAGGUGUGAAAGCCCCGAGCUUAACUUGGGAAUUGCGCUUGUGACUGGCGUGCUGGAGUGUGGCAGAGGGAGGUGGAAUUCCACGUGUAGCAGUGAAAUGCGUAGAGAUGAUGGAGGAACACCGAUGGCGAAGGCAGCCUCCUGGGCCAGCACUGACGCUCAUGCACGAAAGCGUGGGGAGCAAACAGGA
rnacentral:rRNA from 1 species